CGUAGGGCGCAAGCGUUAUCCGGAAUUAUUGGGCGUAAAGAGCUCGUAGGCGGUUUGUCGCGUCUGCUGUGAAAGCCCGGGGCUUAACUCCGGGUGUGCAGUGGGUACGGGCAGGCUAGAGUGCAGUAGGGGAGACUGGAAUUCCUGGUGUAGCGGUGGAAUGCGCAGAUAUCAGGAGGAACACCGAUGGCGAAGGCAGGUCUCUGGGCUGUUACUGACGCUGAGGAGCGAAAGCAUGGGAGCAAACAGGAUU
rnacentral:rRNA from 1 species